CGCUGGCGGCGUGCCUAAUACAUGCAAGUCGAGCGAACGGACGAGAAGCUUGCUUCUCUGAUGUUAGCGGCGGACGGGUGAGUAACACGUGGAUAACCUACCUAUAAGACUGGGAUAACUUCGGGAAACCGGAGCUAAUACCGGAUGAUAUUUUGAACCGCAUGGUUCAAAAGUGAAAGACGGUCUUGCUGUCACUUAUAGAUGGAUCCGCGCUGCAUUAGCUAGUUGGUAAGGUAACGGCUUACCAAGGCAACGAUGCAUAGCCGACCUGAGAGGGUGAUCGGCCACACUGGAACUGAGACACGGUCCAGACUCCUACGGGAGGCAGCAGUAGGGAAUCUUCCGCAAUGGGCGAAAGCCUGACGGAGCAACGCCGCGUGAGUGAUGAAGGUCUUCGGAUCGUAAAACUCUGUUAUUAGGGAAGAACAUAUGUGUAAGUAACUGUGCACAUCUUGACGGUACCUAAUCAGAAAGCCACGGCUAACUACGUG
rnacentral:rRNA from 1 species